rnacentral:rRNA from 1 species
GUGGAUUAGAUACCCUGGUAGUCCACGCUGUAAACGAUGUCGACUUGGAGGUUGUGCCCUUGAGGCGUGGCUUCCGGAGCUAACGCGUUAAGUCGACCGCCUGGGGAGUACGGCCGCAAGGUUAAAACUCAAAUGAAUUGACGGGGGCCCGCACAAGCGGUGGAGCAUGUGGUUUAAUUCGAUGCAACGCGAAGAACCUUACCUACUCUUGACAUCCACGGAACUUGGCAGAGAUGCCUUGGUGCCUUCGGGAACCGUGAGACAGGUGCUGCAUGGCCGUCGUCAACU